rnacentral:rRNA from 1 species
UAUCUGGUUGAUCCUGCCAGUAGUCAUAUGCUUGUCUCUAAGAUUAAGCCAUGCAUGUCUAAGUUUAGGGAUAAAUUUCUGAAACUGCGAAUGGCUCAUUAAAUCAGUCAUUAUUUACUUGAACGCAUAAUAUACUCGGACUUCCGUAGUAAAUCUAGGGCUAAUACGUGCUUCAAUCCUAGCUUCUAGUUGGGAUGCAUUUGUUGGACAUUAGACAGGUUAGCUGGGCUCGACUGUGAUUCGCACUCGCCUAACGAUUGGUGAUUCACGAUAACUUUACAGAUUACAAGUAUCAUAUCUUUGUAAUGGUUCAUUUAGAUUUCUGCCCUAUCAACUUUCGAUGGUAGGAUCGAGGCCUACCAUGGUGAUAACGGGUAACGGGGAAUCAGGGUUCGAUUCCGGAGAUGGAGCCUGAGAAAUGGCUACCACAUCCACGGAAGGCAGCAGGCGCGUAAAUUACCCAAUCCUGACACAGGGAGGUAGUGACAAGAAAUACUGAUGCCGGGCAUUCGCCUGGUUUUUGGAAUGAGCGCAAUUUACAACCCUUAACGAUAAUCCAUUGGAGGGCAAGUCUGGUGCCACAGCCCGCGGUAACUCAGCUUCAAUAGCGGAUAUUUAAAGUGCUGCAGUUAAAAAGCUCGUAGUGGAUUUAUAAAGAUAGUAUUAACAGGAACUUUUAAGUCUGAUAAUACCCAUCUUUGA